CUAAAAUGUGGGAUAGUAUGGUAUAAGAAUGUGACAACUCUCUUAAAAAAAGAUGCGAUAACAGAACCAAAAAUAUGUAGUUAUGAAACAUCACAUCAACUUACUGUUGUCGCCAUCUGUGAGAACUGAGAAGAGAACGCGGAAAUUGAUGCUGCUGUGCCUGUGAUCAAGCUUCUCGCCAAAAAGACGUCAUAUAACUUCAUUCUAAUCGCUACAAGAAGAGCGAUGCCAGAGUAGAUGUGUACGAAUUUGGAAUAGUUCUGAUGGAACUAAUUACGGAUAGAAAGGCAUUGGACAUAACUGAAGAAAUAUCUCACUUGGUUUCAUGGUCCACCAUUCCCAACAAAGACACUGAGCCUAUAAAGAGUUCUGUGAUCUAUGUUCCCAACAAGGCUGGCAAGGACCUGCGAUUUGGAGUUCUAGGUCACUGGAAUGCUGGUCUAAUUUAAUUUGUUGGAGUUGGAGUGAAUUAAAAUAGCAGUUUUGGAGUGAAUAAAUCUGAAAAGGUUCAAUACUAAAUCUAAUUAGUGUUGCUUCAUUAAUCCAAGUGUUGUGCGAUCAAAAUUUUUUGGUCGUGGUACUAUUCCAUUGUUGUGUACCAGGUGGAUGAAUGUUACGAAGAAUUUUUAGAAUAAUAAAUUUGGACUUGUAUCCUUGCUAAGUCAGCUAGUUAGUUGUUAGAAUUGUUUGGAGAGAAAGUUAGAGUUUAAAUAGUUGCAGGACAGAGGGAUAAUAUUAUGCAUGUAUUCUUGUAACUUUUCUGUAUCAAACUCAUUCAAUAACAGUACUCUCUUCGAAUUCCUUUUUCA